GUUAAUUUGGGAGCUAGGCAUUUCUGAGAUCUUCUAGUGCCAUCCCCCAAAGUCUGGAUGACUUCGUUCCUAUGGUGGGUGGGUGCUCAGGGGCAGAUAAGUCUGCCUAACUAGGGGAAGAAAGGUAAUCCUGUUCCCCUUGAGAUUAGGGAGGGGCAGGGAGAGAGGAAGAGAAAGAAGCAUGUUCUUUUAAAUAAGUUGCAGUGGCCAAGCAGCAAGGGCUACAUUCAAAGCAUGGAGUGGAAAGGUCUCACAGGGCAGAGCUGGGAUUUGAACCCUAGGACCCCAAGUGCUCACCUUCACCACCUUCAGCACCCUGACUUCUUGUCCCAGAAACAACUUAUCUUGGAAGCACUGAUCCUGAAAGAACCGCUCCAUUCUUUGCCAGACAUCCUUCAAUUCUUCCUUCCAAUCCUCCUGGGGCUGAAGGCUGUGCUUCAGUAAGGCGUCCAGCCUGUCCCCAGGGGUCUCAUACAGGUCCGGGGAGGGAUUCAUCUCUGCAGGGCUAGGAUGCCCCUUGCAAUAUAUUCUUGGUGCUCCUGCUAGCCCAAGAGCUGCACAACGUGAGGCGGAGGGGAUCUGUCCUGUCGGUUUGCAGCUAGAGCUGGAAGACUUCUCCGGGCAACCCAGACUCCUCCCCCAGGGCUGCAGCGAGCCUCUUGCCACACGGGAAAACGAAACUGAGCUUUCUAAAGAAAGGAAACCGAAAUUUUGCAGAGAUGGAAAUUUCUCUAAGGCGGUGAACCCUCGGCCCCCAUAACCUAUGAGAAGGAGGAGUCUUUAAGAAACCAUCAUCAGAGGGUGUUAAAUGCUUGAGACUCGAAGAUCUCUGAAAUAAAGGGUUCAUUGAGCUGUUACAAAUACUAGCCCAAAGGAAAAGGAGAGAUGAUGGGGUAACUUCCCCUGCUACCAGCAACACGGCCAGAUAGCCCUUGGAGAAGGUUCACUGGGUCUAAGGAGGGAUUUUAUAGAAGAUUUUG